AGAGUUUGAUUCUGGCUCAGAAUGAACGCUGGCGGCGUGCUUAACACAUGCAAGUCGAACGAGAAAGGGAUUGCUUGCAGUCCCGAGUAGAGUGGCGCACGGGUGAGUAACACGUAGAUAAUCUGCCUUCAAGCCUGGGAUAACUAUUCGAAAGGGUAGCUAAUACCGGAUAAAGUCGAUCUACACAAGUAGAUUGAUGAAAGAUUGCCUCUUCUUGAAAGCAAUUGUUUGGAGAUGAGUUUGCGUACCAUUAGCUUGUUGGUGGGGUAAAGGCCUACCAAGGCAACGAUGGUUAGCUGGUCUGAGAGGAUGAUCAGCCACACUGGAACUGAAACACGGUCCAGACUCCUACGGGAGGCAGCAGUGAGGAAUUUUGCGCAAUGGGGGCAACCCUGACGCAGCAACGCCGCGUGAGUGAAGAAGGCCUUUGGGUCGUAAAGCUCUGUCAACAGGGAAGAAGUUACAAUUGUUUAAUAGAUGGUUGUAUUGACGGUACCUGUGGAGGAAGCACCGGCUAACUCCGUGCCAGCAGCCGCGGUAAU
rnacentral:rRNA from 1 species